rnacentral:lncRNA from 1 species
GCUUAUGGUUUUUUGGUUUUUGUUUUUUUUAAAACAAAACAAAACAAAACAAAACAAAACACCCCGAAAAGCAUACUCAGGCUGGAGAGGUAUCUCUCUGGUCUAAAGCAGACACUGCCCUGUAAAGGACCAGAGUUCGGUUCCCAGCACCCAUGAUGUGUAGCUCACAACCUCUGUAACUACAGAUCUGGGGAAUCUGUCUGGGCUCCUUAGGUGCCUGUGCUCACAUGCCCAUACCCUCUCCCCAGAAACACACAUACACAUAAUCAAGAAUAAAUUGAAAAAAAAUAAAAAUAAAAAACACACUCCUAAGUAUUAAUUCCAAAGACUUCCCUGUUCCUUUGGCUUCUGGAACAUCUAAAAUAAUGUCAGGUCAUUUGUCUGUUGUGUAUAAAACUUACAUGCUUAGAAAUGUAACUUGUGCUGUUUUCUAUUUUUUUUUUUCCUUGUUUACUUUGGGUAGUGAUAAGGAAUCCUAAACUUAUGUCAAAAAGGUAUCGUGCCUGAUUUCUAGAAGUUUUUCUUAAUGAGACACGAUAAAUUAUUUGAAACGUGCUGAAGAUUCCUACCCUGCAACUGGGCAAUCGAUGUAACCAUAAAAUCUACCGGUAUUGAAUAAUAGUGAUUUGAGAGUUGCCACUUUACAGGGACAGAAAAUAAGAACAGACUUUCACUUUUUUUUUCACCUCUGCGACAUUUUAAAUUAUAAAUAUUUAAUUGGCUCAAGACCAAAAGCUCCCUAUGGCUGGCAUGCAGGGAGCCUGACCACCGCGCUAGCAAGGACACCUUCC